CAGGAGACCCACACAGGACUUGAAUUACUUUGUUAAAUGGUGAACAUCAACAUAUUUUGGAAUCAAACAGAAUUAUUUGUCUCCACCAGCAGUUCAUGUGGAAAUCUUGUCAUGAAUGCCCAAACA